UACAGAGGGUGCAAGCGUUAAUCGGAGUUACUGGGCGUAAAGGGCGCGUAGGCGGUUGAUUGGGUGUGAUGUGAAAGCCCCGGGCUUAACCUGGGAAGUGCAUCGCAAACUAAUUGACUGGAGUAUAUGAGAGGGUGUCGGAAUUUCCGGUGUAGCGGUGAAAUGCGUAGAGAUCGGAAGGAACGUCAAUGGCGAAGGCAGGCACCUGGCAUAAUACUGACGCUGAGGCGCGAGAGCGUGGGGAGCGAACAGGAUUAGAUACCCUGGUAGUCCACGCUGUAAACGAUGAGGACUAGAUGUUGCGAGGGGAACCUUGCAGUAUCGAAGCUAACGCGAUAAGUCUUCCGCCUGGGAAGUACGGCCGCAAGGUUGAA
rnacentral:rRNA from 1 species